UAAUACGGAGGGUGCAAGCGUUAUCCGGAUUCACUGGGUUUAAAGGGUGCGUAGGCGGGUUUGUAAGUCAGUGGUGAAAGCCCGGGGCUCAACUCCGGAACUGCCAUUGAUACUGCAAGCCUUGAGUACAGUUGAGGUGGGCGGAAUACAUCAUGUAGUGGUGAAAUACUUAGAUAUGAUGUAGAACACCGAUUGCGAAGGCAGCUCACUAAAGUGUAACUGACGCUGAGGCACGAAAGCGUGGGGAUCAAACAGGAUUAGAUACCCUGGUAGUCCACGCCCUAAACUAUGUUCACUCGACAUUAGCGAUAUACUGUUAGUGCCUAAGCGAAAGCGUUAAGUGAACCACCUGGGGAGUACGUUCGCAAGAAUG
rnacentral:rRNA from 1 species